rnacentral:rRNA from 1 species
AGGCACGAAAGCGUGGGGAGCGAACCGGAUUAGAUACCCGGGUAGUCCACGCCCUAAACGAUGCGGGCUAGGUGUUGGUCCGGACCUGGACCGGUGCCGCAGCUAACGCGUUAAGCCCGCCGCCUGGGCAGUACGGCCGCAAGGCUGAAACUCAAGGGAAUUGACGGGGUCCCACACAAGCGGUGGAGCAUGUGGUUUAAUUCGAUGCUAAACGAAGAACCUUACCCGGGCUUGACAUGCAGGUGGUACCGCCCCGAAAGGGAAGGGACCCCGGGCCGAAAGGCGCCGGGGAGCCUGCACAGGUGCUGCAUGGCUGUCGUCAGCUCGUGCCGUGGGGUGUUGGGUUAAGUCCCGGAACGAGCGCAACCCUUGCCACCAGUUGCCAGCGGGCCCUGCGGGGCGCCGGGGACUCUGGUGGGACUGCCGGGGAAUACCCGGAGGAAGGAGGGGAUGACGUCAAGUCCUCAUGGCCCUUAUGCCCGGGGCGACACACAUGCUACAGUGCCCGGUACAAUGGGACGCCAAGGGGUGACCCGGAGCCAAUCCCACCAAAGCCGGGCAUGGUUCGGAUUGCAGGCUGCAACCCGCCUGCAUGAAGAGGGAAUCGCUAGUAAUCGCGGGUCAGCCAUACCGCGGUGAAUACGUACUUGGGGCUUGUACACACCGCCCGUCACGCCAACCGAGUGGGGGGCACUUGAAGUCGUCCGAAAAGGGCGCCGAGGGUGUCCUUCAUGGGGGGGGCGAAGUCGUAACAAGGUAACCAAGCC